rnacentral:rRNA from 1 species
GGGUUGUGAGGUUAAGCGACUAAGCGUACACGGUGGAUGCCCUGGCAGUCAGAGGCGAUGAAGGACGUGCUAAUCUGCGAUAAGCGUCGGUAAGGUGAUAUGAACCGUUAUAACCGGCGAUUUCCGAAUGGGGAAACCCAGUGUGUUUCGACACACUAUCAUUAACUGAAUCCAUAGGUUAAUGAGGCGAACCGGGGGAACUGAAACAUCUAAGUACCCCGAGGAAAAGAAAUCAACCGAGAUUCCCCCAGUAGCGGCGAGCGAACGGGGAGGAGCCCAGAGCCUGAAUCAGUGUGUGUGUUAGUGGAAGCGUCUGGAAAGGCGCGCGAUACAGGGUGACAGCCCCGUACACAAAAAUGCACAUGCUGUGAGCUCGAUGAGUAGGGCGGGACACGUGGUAUCCUGUCUGAAUAUGGGGGGACCAUCCUCCAAGGCUAAAUACUCCUGACUGACCGAUAGUGAACCAGUACCGUGAGGGAAAGGCGAAAAGAACCCCGGCGAGGGGAGUGAAAAAGAACCUGAAACCGUGUACGUACAAGCAGUGGGAGCACGCUUAGGCGUGUGACUGCGUACCUUUUGUAUAAUGGGUCAGCGACUUAUAUUCUGUAGCAAGGUUAACCGAAUAGGGGAGCCGAAGGGAAACCGAGUCUUAACUGGGCGUUAAGUUGCAGGGUAUAGACCCGAAACCCGGUGAUCUAGCCAUGGGCAGGUUGAAGGUUGGGUAACACUAACUGGAGGACCGAACCGACUAAUGUUGAAAAAUUAGCGGAUGACUUGUGGCUGGGGGUGAAAGGCCAAUCAAACCGGGAGAUAGCUGGUUCUCCCCGAAAGCUAUUUAGGUAGCGCCUCGUGAAUUCAUCUCCGGGGGUAGAGCACUGUUUCGGCAAGGGGGUCAUCCCGACUUACCAACCCGAUGCAAACUGCGAAUACCGGAGAAUGUUAUCACGGGAGACACACGGCGGGUGCUAACGUCCGUCGUGAAGAGGGAAACAACCCAGACCGCCAGCUAAGGUCCCAAAGUCAUGGUUAAGUGGGAAACGAUGUGGGAAGGCCCAGACAGCCAGGAUGUUGGCUUAGAAGCAGCCAUCAUUUAAAGAAAGCGUAAUAGCUCACUGGUCGAGUCGGCCUGCGCGGAAGAUGUAACGGGGCUAAACCAUGCACCGAAGCUGCGGCAGCGACGCUUAUGCGUUGUUGGGUAGGGGAGCGUUCUGUAAGCCUGUGAAGGUGUGCUGUGAGGCAUGCUGGAGGUAUCAGAAGUGCGAAUGCUGACAUAAGUAACGAUAAAGCGGGUGAAAAGCCCGCUCGCCGGAAGACCAAGGGUUCCUGUCCAACGUUAAUCGGGGCAGGGUGAGUCGACCCCUAAGGCGAGGCCGAAAGGCGUAGUCGAUGGGAAACAGGUUAAUAUUCCUGUACUUGGUGUUACUGCGAAGGGGGGACGGAGAAGGCUAUGUUGGCCGGGCGACGGUUGUCCCGGUUUAAGCGUGUAGGCUGGUUUUCCAGGCAAAUCCGGAAAAUCAAGGCUGAGGCGUGAUGACGAGGCACUACGGUGCUGAAGCAACAAAUGCCCUGCUUCCAGGAAAAGCCUCUAAGCAUCAGGUAACAUCAAAUCGUACCCCAAACCGACACAGGUGGUCAGGUAGAGAAUACCAAGGCGCUUGAGAGAACUCGGGUGAAGGAACUAGGCAAAAUGGUGCCGUAACUUCGGGAGAAGGCACGCUGAUAUGUAGGUGAAGCGACUUGCUCGUGGAGCUGAAAUCAGUCGAAGAUACCAGCUGGCUGCAACUGUUUAUUAAAAACACAGCACUGUGCAAACACGAAAGUGGACGUAUACGGUGUGACGCCUGCCCGGUGCCGGAAGGUUAAUUGAUGGGGUUAGCGCAAGCGAAGCUCUUGAUCGAAGCCCCGGUAAACGGCGGCCGUAACUAUAACGGUCCUAAGGUAGCGAAAUUCCUUGUCGGGUAAGUUCCGACCUGCACGAAUGGCGUAAUGAUGGCCAGGCUGUCUCCACCCGAGACUCAGUGAAAUUGAACUCGCUGUGAAGAUGCAGUGUACCCGCGGCAAGACGGAAAGACCCCGUGAACCUUUACUAUAGCUUGACACUGAACAUUGAGCCUUGAUGUGUAGGAUAGGUGGGAGGCUUAGAAGUGUGGACGCCAGUCUGCAUGGAGCCGACCUUGAAAUACCACCCUUUAAUGUUUGAUGUUCUAACGUUGACCCGUAAUCCGGGUUGCGGACAGUGUCUGGUGGGUAGUUUGACUGGGGCGGUCUCCUCCUAAAGAGUAACGGAGGAGCACGAAGGUUGGCUAAUCCUGGUCGGACAUCAGGAGGUUAGUGCAAUGGCAUAAGCCAGCUUGACUGCGAGCGUGACGGCGCGAGCAGGUGCGAAAGCAGGUCAUAGUGAUCCGGUGGUUCUGAAUGGAAGGGCCAUCGCUCAACGGAUAAAAGGUACUCCGGGGAUAACAGGCUGAUACCGCCCAAGAGUUCAUAUCGACGGCGGUGUUUGGCACCUCGAUGUCGGCUCAUCACAUCCUGGGGCUGAAGUAGGUCCCAAGGGUAUGGCUGUUCGCCAUUUAAAGUGGUACGCGAGCUGGGUUUAGAACGUCGUGAGACAGUUCGGUCCCUAUCUGCCGUGGGCGCUGGAGAACUGAGGGGGGCUGCUCCUAGUACGAGAGGACCGGAGUGGACGCAUCACUGGUGUUCGGGUUGUCAUGCCAAUGGCACUGCCCGGUAGCUAAAUGCGGAAGAGAUAAGUGCUGAAAGCAUCUAAGCACGAAACUUGCCCCGAGAUGAGUUCUCCCUGACCCUUUAAGGGUCCUGAAGGAACGUUGAAGACGACGACGUUGAUAGGCCGGGUGUGUAAGCGCAGCGAUGCGUUGAGCUAACCGGUACUAAUGAACCGUGAGGCUUAACCUUACAACGCCGAAGGUGUUU